rnacentral:rRNA from 3 species
UACGGAGGGUGCAAGCGUUAAUCGGAAUAACUGGGCGUAAAGGGCAUGCAGGCGGUUCAUCAAGUAGGAUGUGAAAUCCCCGGGCUCAACCUGGGAACAGCAUACUAAACUGGUGGACUAGAGUAUUGCAGGGGGAGACGGAAUUCCAGGUGUAGCGGUGGAAUGCGUAGAUAUCUGGAAGAACACCAAAGGCGAAGGCAGUCUCCUGGGCAAAUACUGACGCUCAUAUGCGAAAGCGUGGGUAGCAAACAGG